UACAGAGACUGCAAGCGUUAUUCGGAUUCACUGGGCGUAAAGGGUGCGUAGGCGGUCGGGUAAGUCUGAUGUGAAAUCUCACAGCUUAACUGUGAAACUGCAUUGGAUACUAUUCGGCUUGAGGUCUGGAGGGGGGACUGGAAUUCUCGGUGUAGCAGUGAAAUGCGUAGAUAUCGAGAGGAACACCAGUGGCGAAGGCGAGUCCCUGGACAACACCUGACACUGAGGCACGAAAGCGUGGGGAGCGAACAGG
rnacentral:rRNA from 1 species